ACAACUAUGGUCAGUGGUCCAUCAUUUACAAUUCUGCAGAUGAAAGUUUGGGCUUUAGAUGAUCUUCCUUAGAUAAACCAGAAAACCCACAAUUUACAAUAAAUGAAAAUGGUAUUAAGAAGAAAUAGCAUACCUAAGAAACAGUCCUCAGUAUAUUUAAUUAUAUAAACUCCA